GAUAAGCUAGGGAAACCCCCUUGGUCUCCAAGCAAACACUCCUUGACAAAAUGGGUUCCAACAAGGCUUUUCUUUUAUUUGCUCUUGUUCUUCUCAUCAUCUCCUCUGAGGUAGCAGCACGAGACCUCCUCGAGCACACUUCUACUCAUGCCAAGCUGAAAGAGAAUGGUGGAUAUGAAAGAAAGCUUGCUAGUGGUGGGGGGGUAAAGCCCAUUGUUGUGCGUCCUGUCAAUCCUAAAUAUAAGCCUGUUCCCAGCCAAGGAAAAGAAUGCUCCCGAUAUACGAGAAGCUGUCCCGGCAAAGCACCACCACCACCACCAUGCUCACCAUAUAAAAGAAACUGUCCAUGAAAGAAGCUGCGCUCAUCUUUUCAGAUCAUGAUGAACAACUAAUUAUUAUCUGCCGAUCGAUACAUGAAGUUAUUGAUUCCUCUCUUUUGUUGCUUCCCUUACAUACAACUUGCAGUAUGUACGUGCUGUUACUUUCAUAGAAUAAACGCUCAAUAUAUGUAAGCCUAUCCAAAUCUUCGAUCUGGAGACUCUGGCCGUGCUAAUAUUUCUGUAAAAUCGCAUGGUGGUAAAGUAGUAGUUUUCAUGAUCUCUCCGUUCAUAAUAUUAAA